AAGUUACCUUCAUCUCCUAUGAAGGAACCAGGAAGGGUCCUCCUUCUGUGGAGCAGAGCUUGUGUUCGCCAGACACACAAUUUGCUGGUACCUUGGUCUUGGGCUUCACAAACUGACACAGAGAAUGAGAAAGGAGAAUGACAGAAACUCCUGGAAGGUGCUAUUGGACUUUUAAAACAUCAUCUGCUACUGAAAUAUGUGCUUCUGAUUCAGAGUCUCUGUGACCAUGAAGGCAGUCUGGCUUCCCUCUCCACCAUUAACUGGCAUGUGUUGAUUAAACACUAAUGUGACCCCAAGGCAAUUUCA